rnacentral:tRNA from 1 species
CAUCCGUAGCUCAGCUGGAUAGAGUACUCGGCUACGAACCGAGCGGUCGGAGGUUGAAUCCUCCCGGAUGAA